rnacentral:rRNA from 1 species
UGGCGGACGGGUGAGUAACGCGUGGAUAACCUGCCGUAUACAGGGGGAUAACACUUAGAAAUAGGUGCUAAUACCGCAUAAGCGCACGGUUCCGCAUGGAACAGUGUGAAAAACUCCGGUGGUAUACGAUGGAUCCGCGUCUGAUUAGCCAGUUGGCGGGGUAGAGGCCCACCAAGGCGACGAUCAGUAGCCGGCCUGAGAGGGUGGACGGCCACAUUGGGACUGAGACACGGCCCAAACUCCUACGGGAGGCAGCAG